GUGCUUGAUUCAGCAGCACAUAUACUAACAUUGGACCCACACAGAGAAGAUUGGCACAGCCCCUGAGCAAGGGUGACACGCACAUUCAUGUAGCGUUCCAUAUAAAU